GUCCCGGUAGCUCAGCUGGAUAGAGCGCACCCCUCCUAAGGGUGAGGUCACAGGUUCAACUCCUGUUCGGGACGCCA
rnacentral:tRNA from 1 species